rnacentral:rRNA from 1 species
CCUACGGGAGGCAGCAGUGGGGAAUAUUGCUCAAUGGGGGAAACCCUGAAGCAGCAACGCCGCGUGGGGGAUGAAGGUUUUAGGAAUGUAAACCCCUUUUGGGAGGGAAGAUAAUGACGGUAUCUCACGACUAAGAACCGGCUAACAACGAGCCAGCAGCCGCGGCAAUACGGAGGGUGCAAGCGUUACUCGGAAUCACUGGGCGUAAUGAGUGCGCAGGCGGGCUUGUAAGUCAGAUGUGAAAUCCGGGAGCUUAACUACAGACCUGCUUUGGAAACUAUAAGUCUAGAGUGUGGGAGAGGUAGGUGGAAUUCUUGGUGUAGGGGUAAAAUGCGUAGAUAUCAAGAGGAAUACUCAUGGCGAAGGCGACCUACUGGAACGUUACUGACGCUGAUGCACGAAAGCGUGGGGAGCAAACAGGAUUAGAUACCCUAGUAGUC